rnacentral:misc_RNA from 1 species
GUGAAUCAUCGAAUUUUUGAACGCAAAUUGCACUCUCCGGUUUUCCGGGAGAGUAUGCCUGUUUGAGGGUCUGUUUAAAAAAUAAUCGGGGCUGCUGCUGUGGUGGCUCUUCGGAAUUGGGUCAUCUUUACCUUUUCGGUUGUAGGGGCCUAAAAUUUUUUUUACCGAUUCCUCCGAACGUGUUUAAGAAUUUCUUGUA